rnacentral:rRNA from 1 species
AAUCAACGCUGGCGGCGUGCCUCAGACAUGCAAGUCGAACGAUUAAACUUCCCUUCGGGGGAGAUAUAAAGUGGCGCACGGGUGAGUAACACGUAGGUAAUGUACCUUUGGGUGGGGAAUAACUUAGGGAAACUUAAGCUAAUACCGCAUAAUGCAGCGGCUCCUUCGGGAGACAGUUGUUAAAGAUUUAUCGCCUAAAGAGCAGCCUGCGGCAGAUUAGCUAGUUGGUAAGGUAACGGCUUACCAAGGCUACGAUCUGUAUCCGACCUGAGAGGGUGGUCGGACACACUGACACUGAAUGACGAGCCAGACUCCUACGGGAGGAAGCAGUCGGGAAUUUUGGGCAAUGGGCGAAAGACUGACCCAGCAACGCCGCGUGAAGGAUGAAGUCUUUCGGGAUGUAAACUUCGUAAGAAUAGGAAGAAUAAAUGACGGUACUAUUUGUAAGGUCCGGCUAACUACGUG